UUGGAGGGCAAGUCUGGUGCCAGCAGCCGCGGUAAUUCCAGCUCCAAUAGCGUAUAUUAAAGUUGUUGCAGUUAAAAAGCUCGUAGUUGAAUUUCGAGACCGGUUUAUUGGUCGUGCUUUUGUACGUACUGGUAUUAUUGGUUUCUCCUUUCUGACGAAUCUUAAUGCCAUUAAUUUGGUGUUUUGGGGAAUCAGGACUGUUACUUUGAAAAAAUUAGAGUGUUUAAAGCAGGCUCACGCUUGAAUACAUUAGCAUGGAAUAACGGAAUAGGACGUUUGAUUCUAUUUUGUUGGUUUCUAGGAUCGACGUAAUGAUUAAUAGGGAUAGUUGGGGGCAUUAGUAUUCAAUUGUCAGAGGUGAAAUUCUUGGAUUUAUUGAAGACUAACUACUGCGAAAGCAUUUGCCAAGGAUGUUUUCAUUAAUCAAGAACGAAAGUUAGGGGAUUGAAGACGAUCAGAUACCGUCGUAGUCUUAACCAUAAACUAUGCCGACUAGGGAUCGGAUGAUGUUAAUUUUUUAAUGACUCAUUCGGCGCCUUACGGGAAAC
rnacentral:rRNA from 1 species